rfam:Mesocricetus auratus contig174053, whole genome shotgun sequence.
GCCGGGCGGUGGUGGCGCACGCCUUUAAUCCCAGCACUCGGGAGGCAGAGGCAGGCGGAUCUCUGUGAGUUCGAGGCCAGCCUGGUCUACAGAGUGAGUUCCAGGACAGCCUCCAAAACAAUACAGAGAACUUGUCCCUGUCUUUUUUUUUUUUUGGUUUUUCGAGACAGGGUUUCUCUGUAGCUUUGGAGGCUGUCCUGGAACUAGCCCUUGUAGACCAGGCUGGCCUCGAACUCACAGAGAUCCACCUGCCUCUG